rnacentral:rRNA from 1 species
CCUGGCUCAGGAUGAACGCUAGCGGCAGGCUUAACACAUGCAAGUCGAGGGGCAUCGGGAGUAGCAAUACUGCCGGCGACCGGCGCAAGGGUGCGUAACGCGUGAGCAACAUGCCCGUAUCAGGGGGAUAAUCCAUGGAAACGUGGUCUAAUACCCCAUAGUAAUUAUGUAAGGCAUCUUAUAUAAUUUAAAGCUUUGGUGGAUACGGAUUGGCUCGCGUGACAUUAGCUAGAUGGUAAGGUAACGGCUUACCAUGGCUACGAUGUCUAGGGGUUCUGAGAGGAAGGUCCCCCCACACUGGAACUGAGACACGGUCCAGACUCCUACGGGAGGCAGCAGUGAGGAAUAUUGGACAAUGGAUGGAAAUCUGAUCCAGCCAUGCCGCGUGCAGGGAAAGACGGCCCUAUGGGUUGUAAACUGCUUUUGUAUGGGAGCAAUAAGGGCUACGCGUAGUCCGAUGAGAGUACCAUACGAAUAAGCACCGGCUAACUCCGUGCCAGCAGCUGC